rnacentral:rRNA from 1 species
UACGGGGGGGGGCAAGCGUUGUUCGGAAUUACUGGGCGUAAAGGGCUCGUAGGCGGCCAACUAAGUCAGACGUGAAAUCCCUCGGCUUAACCGGGGAACUGCCUUCGAUACUGAGGAUCUCGAGUCCGGGAGAGGUGAGUGGAACUCCGAGUGUAGAGGUGAAAUUCGUAGAUAUUCGGAAGAACACCAGUGGCGAAGGCGGCUCACUGGCCCGGUACUGACGCUGAGGUGCGAAAGCGUGGGGAGCAAACAGG